rnacentral:tRNA from 1 species
GUCUGGGUGGCUCAGUUGGUUGAGCGUCUGCCUUUGGCUCAGGUCAUGAUCCUGGGUCGUGGGAUCCAGCCCCACCUCGGGCU